rnacentral:rRNA from 1 species
GAUGAACGCUGGCGGCGUGCUUAACACAUGCAAGUCGAACGGAAAGGCUCCUGCUUGCAGGGGUACUCGAGUGGCGAACGGGUGAGUAACACGUGGGUGAUCUGCCCUGCACUUCGGGAUAAGCCUGGGAAACUGGGUCUAAUACCGGAUAGGACGAUGGUUUCGAUGCCAUUGUGGAAAGCUUUUCGGUGUGGGAUGAGCUCGCGGCCUAUCUGCUUGUUGGUGGGGUAAUGGCCUACCAAGGCGUCGACGGGUAGCCGGCCUGAGAGGGUGUACGGUCACAUUGGGACUGAGAGACGGCCCAGACUCCUACGGGAGACAGCAGUGGGGAAUAUUGCACAAUGGGCGCAAGCCUGAUGCAGCGACGCCGCGUGGGGGAUGACGGCCUUCGGGUUGUAAACACCUUUCGCUAGGGACGAAGCGGAAGUGACGGUACCUGGAGAAGAAGCACCGGCUAACUACGUG